rnacentral:rRNA from 1 species
AGCUAUAUGAUUUAAUAUUUAGUGAUUUUUGCCCAGUGAUUUUUUAACGGCCGCAGUACUUUGACUGUGCUAAGGUAGCAUAAUCAAUUGACUUUUAAUUGAAGUCUAGAAUGAAUGGGAGUUUGGAAAUUUUCUGUCUAAAUUAAAGUUUAAUUAAAUUAUUUUAAAGGUGAAAAUACCUUUAAAAAUAUAAAAGACGAGAAGACCCUUAGAGUUUUUUUGUUGGGGUGACAAAUAAGCUAACCUUAUUUUAAGAGAGAGAAAACUACCUAAGGGAUAACAGCAUAAUUUUCUUAUAAGAUUAUGACCUCGAUGUUGGACUAGGAAUAUAAUAAUUAAAAAUUAAAAUUUAAGGUUCUGUUCGAACUUUUUAUCCU